CUUACAUCCUUAGAUGAAAAUACUAUAGUUCACUGUCUAGGGUAAAGUGAGGUCCUAAAUACAUAUUUUCAAUAAUUAUUUUUCAUGUUUGCAUGGCAUUUAAUACUUUUAUAAAGCACAUGCUUUUUUUUGCAAUCUUUAUAACAAUGCUGUAAAAGAGUUCAGACAGAUUGAUGAUGAUGAUGAUGAUGAUGACUAUGACAAUAAUGACGACUUUUUAAAGAUACGCAAAUGGAGUUUGGUGAGAUCGGUGGGCCUCUCCUAGAUCACAGAACCAGUUCAUAAGCAGGGCUAAAAAUUGAUUCAGAACGGAGUUCUCUUUUACCUAUAAUUUCUGAGGCUUUCAGGAUGAAUUGCACAUUUGAAAAGAUGUUUGGAUACUUGUGAUAUGAUGCUCCAGAGAAAGAAAGUGCUAUUAAGCUGGGAAAUCCAAGAUAGGGUGCCAGCAUGGGCUGGUAUUGGUGAGGGCUGUGUUCUUGGCUUGCAGACAGCUGCCUUCUUGCUGCAACCUCACACAGAGGAGAGAGAUUCUAGGUGGAUAACAACUUUUCCUGCCACUUUUUUUACAGUAUGGAUCACUAUGGUAUUGGGACAAGGAUACCACAGAAAACAACUAGAAAAAGUACAUUAUUUGUGACUGUAAAGUCUUUGUGACAGUUCUUUCAAAUUGCUCUUGCACUCGUUGUAGAAACUUUAUCCCAAGGAAAUAAUUUGAAAUAUUUCAAAAUAGAAAAACAUUCUAUUUUGUCUAAAUUUGAAAUAUCAAAGAUCUUAGACCUAAAUAGAAUGCUUCAUGAUACAGGAGUUAUCAAAUAUUUUCUCAUGAAAUCUAUGCAUUAUUAUGACAAAUUAAGAAAACAUAUGAGUAUAGAUAAUUAUUUCAAACAAAAAGUAUAGAAUUCAAAAGUUUAGAAAGCAUAUAAUUGUAAUAAACAAGGCUAUUAAAAAA